AGAUGGAGGAAGUGAUACCAUCAUGUUGGGUUAAGAAUGGUGGUGUAUUGUGGCCUACACAAGGAGCUGCGAGAGCGUUGAAGGCCUGCAAAGAACCAGAAGAAUCAUGGACAAAAUUCCCAUUAAUAAAAAUGAAGAUUCAGUCAGAUGACAAGAAUGAAUGCGAGAAGUAUGAUUUUACUACAACUGCUGAAUUAAGUGGCUCAGAAGAAGAGUUACCGAUGAAGAGGAGGCCAAAAAAAAAAAAUUUAUCCCGACUACCAAAUUGAUGAACCAUCUGUCAAUGAAGACAGUAAAAAAGAAUCUUCUCCAGGUCUUAUGAUAAAGAGUACAGGUGAAAAGGCUACCAAGAAGAUUCGAACAUUUAUUCCUUGUGAAGAUGACUUUGUUCUUCCAACUCCUCCCAAAAUGAACAAUGCACAGUCUGGUAAAUAUGGCACAACUACCAACACAAUGAAAAGACGCAUCCCGCAUUCUGCAAAUACA